AUAUAGCAUAAGUGAAAAAUGCUUCUUAAGAUAUUUUUUAUUUAGCAAAAAAAAAAAAAAAAAAAAAAAACGGCUAAGUUAUUUUAAGCAAAUAGAAAAAUAUAAUUUAUCUACUAAUAAAACAAUUUUUCGUUUUUUUUUUUUUUUUUUUUUUAAAACUAUUUAUUGUAUAUAUACAUAUGUUUUCAAUUAUAAUUUGAUUUUUACUAUUAUUAUUACAUAAUUUAAAACAUAAGUAUACAUGAAAUUAUUUUUUUUUUAAAAAAAAUGCUCUUUUAAAUAACUUAUAUAUUUUGUAAAAAUAGGAAGAGUAGUAAAAAAAUGAAUAUAUAAUAUAAUUUUUGUUUUGUAGGACAAAAAUAUUGUUUAUUAUAUUAAUAUAUAAUACAUAUGUGAUUUAUUCAGUUUAUUUGUAUAAGUUACGUAUAUACAUAAAAAUAAAUAAAUAAAUAAAUAAAUAAAUAAAUAUAUAUAUAUAUAUAUAUAUAUAUAUUAUCAACUGUAUAUAUUAAUUUGUUAAACUUAAAUAUAAACGGUUUUAACAUUUCUUAAAAAAAAAAAAAAAAUUUUGUAAACAGUUAACACGCAGUUACAUAUUUUUUUUUUAAAAAGUUUAUUUUAUAUUUUUAUUUUGCUCUUUUCUUUAUAUAUUUUGUUUUUUUCUAUUGUUAUUAAUUUUUUCAUUUAAUUUUUUUAUUGAGCAAUUUUUAAAUAAAUACUGAUAUUUAUUAUAAAUCAAGAACAACAGAAAAAAAAAAUAAAAAAUGAAUCACUUAGAUGAAAACAGAGAAUCAAAUGAUCAUGAGCAUCAUAAUGCUGGAUCAACAUUGUACGUUUCAAAUUUAAGUUCAAGAAUAACUACUUGGGAACUUCAAGAUUUAUUUGAACAAUAUGGAACUAUAGAAAAAUGCCAUGUUAUCUGUAAUCCAAUUACAAAAGAAUCAAGACAAUUCGGAUUUGUCACUUUUCAUUCUCCUGAUGAAGCACAAAAUGCAAUGAAUAAAACACAUAACAUGGAUCUAGAAGGGAGACUUAUUAACGUACAAAUAGCCAGACGAGAUGAACCAUAUGAACCAACCCCAGGCCAAUAUAAAGGAACUAACAAUAGACGAAACUACGAAAUGAGGCGUAACUAUUAUGCAAGAAAUAAUUACAGAUAUUAUGAUAGAAGGCGAGUUGAAGCAAGAAGAUACCCAUAUUACAGAUACCCAAUAAAAAGUUACGGUUACAGAAAUAACACGUAUAGAAAUUAUGAUAAUAAUGGAAGAAAUACAUAUAACGAUAAUAGACGUUAUGAAAGAAAAUCAAUAGAUUAUAGAUAUCAUAAAAGAGAUGAUUAUUAUAAAAAACCUACAAUGAGCAGUGAUGAUGAAAAAUAUUAUUCAGGAGAUGAUAGUGGUAAAAGAAGAAGAAAAUAUGACAAAUAUAGAAGAUCAUUUAGUCACUCUUUAAGUAACCCAAGACAGCACAAAGGUUCUUCACCAUAAAGGAUGAUGACUUAAUAUUUAUAAAUACACUUUUCUAUACCUUUUUUCUUUCUCCUUUUACAAUUUAGCAAUUAAUAUCACGAAACAAAACAAAACAAAUUAUAUACUUAUGAAUGCUAAACAAAAUCAGAAUAUUUCUUAGUAGAUGGAUUCAUAUUUUUGUAUGUUAUAAUAAUAUAGCAAUUUUUUUUUUAUUUUUUUUUAUUUCAAAAGUUAAAAAUUAACAUUUAAGUGACUGUAUGUAUAUAUAUAUUAUACCAUUAAAUUGUAAAAUUUUCAAAUUAAACACAUACAUUUACCAAAAAAAAAAAAAAAAAAAAAAAAAAAUCGUACACAUUACACUUUUUUAAUACGAAUUACUGUAUCAAAACUAAGAAAAUUUUAAAAACAAUUAAAAAAAAAAUGUAUAACAUACGAAAAUCAGUGUUUUCAAAAAGUUAAAUGAAAAAUGGAUUUACCUUUGUUCGGUUACAUAUACCCAUCAUCAUAUCUCCACCUUUUUAAUAAUUUAUUGUAACUAACAAAAAAAAAAAAAAUAAAAUAAAAAAUAAAAUUGAUUUUUAAAUAAAU
rnacentral:lncRNA from 1 species